rnacentral:rRNA from 1 species
GACCUCCAUCCAAGAUGAAUUCUGGGUUGACCUCGGAUCAGGUAGGGAUACCCGCUGAACUUAAGCAUAUCAAUAAGNCGGAGGAAA